rnacentral:rRNA from 1 species
UACAGAGGUCUCAAGCGUUGUUCGGAUUCAUUGGGCGUAAAGGGUGCGUAGGUGGCGCUGUAAGUCAGGUGUGAAAUUUCGGAGCUCAACUUCGAAACUGCAUUUGAUACUGCGGUGCUUGAGGACUGGAGAGGAGACUGGAAUUUACGGUGUAGCAGUGAAAUGCGUAGAUAUCGAGAGGAACACCUGCGGCGAAGGCGGGUUGCUGGGCUGACACUGACGCUGAUGCGCGAAAGCCAGGGGAGCGAACGGG